rnacentral:rRNA from 1 species
ACAGGGAUUGCCUCAGUAACGGCGAGUGAAGCGGCAUCAGCUCAAAUUUGAAAUCUGGCUCUUUUAGAGUCCGAGUUGUAAUUUGCAGAGGGCGCUUUGGCAUAGGCAGCGAUUCAAGUUCCUUGGAACAGGACGUCACAGAGGGUGAGAAUCCCGUACGUGGUCGCUAGCUCUUGCCGUGUAAAGCCCCUUCGACGAGUCGAGUUGUUUGGGAAUGCAGCUCUAAAUGGGAGGUAAAUUUCUUCUAAAGCUAAAUAUUGGCCAGAGACCGAUAGCGCACAAGUAGAGUGAUCGAAAGAUGAAAAAAACUUUGGAAAGAGAGUUAAACAGCAUGUGAAAUUGUUGAAAGGGAAGCGCUUGCAGCCAGACUUGCCUGUAGUUGCUCAUCCGGGCUCUUGCCCGGUGCACUCUUCUGUAGGCAGGCCAGCAUCAGUUUGGGCGGUUGGAUAAAGGUCUCUGUCAUGUACCUCUCUUCGGGGAGGCCUUAUAGGGGAGGCGACAUACAACCAGCCUAGACUGAGGUCCGCGCAUUCGUGCUAGGAUGCUGGCGUAAUGGCUGUAAGCGGCCCGUCUUGAAACACGGACCAAGGAGUCUAACAUCUAUGCGAGUGUUUGGGUGUCAAGCCCGAGCGCGUAAUGAAAGUGAACGGAGGUGGGAACCCCUCGGGGUGCACCAUCGACCGAUCCUGAUGUCUUCGGAAGGAUUUGAGUAAGAGCAUGGCUGUUGGGACCCGAAAGAUGGUGAACUAUGCUUGAAUAGGGUGAAGCCAGAGGAAACUCUGGUGGAGGCUCGCAGCGGUUCUGACGUGCAAAUCGAUCGUCAAAUUUGGGCAUAGGGGCGAAAGACUAAU